rnacentral:rRNA from 1 species
AUUGAACGCUGGCGGCAUGCCUUACACAUGCAAGUCGAACGGUAACAGGUCUUCGGAUGCUGACGAGUGGCGAACGGGUGAGUAAUACAUCGGAACGUGCCCGAGAGUGGGGGAUAACGAGGCGAAAGCUUUGCUAAUACCGCAUACGAUCUCAGGAUGAAAGCAGGGGACCGCAAGGCCUUGCGCUCACGGAGCGGCCGAUGGCAGAUCAGGUAGUUGGUGGGAUAAAAGCUUACCAAGCCGACGAUCUGUAGCUGGUCUGACAGGACGACCAGCCACAUUGGGACUGAGACACGGGCCAGACUCCUACGGGAGGCAGCAGUGGGGAAUUUUGGACAAUGGGCGCAAGCCUGAUCCAGCCAUGCCGCGUGCAGGAUGAAGGCCUUCGGGUUGUAAACUGCUUUUGUACGGAACGAAAAGACUCUGGUUAAUACCUGGGGUCCAUGACGGUACCGUAAGAAUAAGCACCGGCUAACUACGUGCCAGCCGCCGCCGUAACAC